ACGGCUCCCGCCCCCUUUUCUUCCCAUUGAAUCCGAAUUUUUCCCCUUUUUUUGUCUCUUUUUUCCCUUUUUUCCCCUUUUUUCCCCCAAAUUUUUUCCCGAAGUUUCUCCAUACAAGCAGAGGAUGAGCGGCGGGAGGAUUUAGAAGGCAAAAAUUCCAGGAUCUUUCAGGUGGGAAGGAUGGAAAUGAUCUCCUGGAUUUGGCUCCUGGUGGCUCUGCCGGUGACCAAGGGACAGCAAAGAGCAAUGGUUGCUCCGUUUUUAGGUAGGCCCGUCCGACG